CCCAUUUAUCAGCCAUGCAUCGGUCAAGCCCAUGUCGCAUCACCAUCUCUUCUACGGUCAGUCACGUGCUGAGUAAAUUUAUGGCCACUGUCAGAGAUAUUUAAACACCUCACGUGGUCCCAUAUGAUAGGACAUGAUCAUAAUGACCCCUUGUCCUCUCACCCUUGACUUUAAUCCCCCUAGAGAAGGGAUCCUAACCAAAGUUGCGGCACCGACCCCUGACUCGGCCAUGGGUUCCAGCACCUUAUCGAUCCAUAUAAUAGCCGAUCUACCCCA
rnacentral:lncRNA from 1 species